rnacentral:misc_RNA from 1 species
UUGUGGAGGAGGACGCCGAAGGUGGGGCUAAUGACUGGGGUGAAGUCGUAACAAGGUAGCCGUACCGGAAGGUGCGGCUGGAUCACCUCCUAACAGGGAGACAACAAAAUGUUUAAUAUUAUUAUUUUGUCACCUUAGGUCGAUCGGUAUCUCACAUUCUUAAUUUAUUAAGAAUUUCAUUUCCUAAGUUUUUCUAGGUCACACCCAUUAUUUUUCCUGGGCCAUUAGCUCAGGUGGUUAGAGCGCACCCCUGAUAAGGGUGAGGUCCCUGGUUCAAGUCCAGGAUGGCCCAUAUCUCUAUGUUGGGGGUAUAGCUCAGUUGGUAGAGCGCCUGCUUUGCAAGCAGGAUGUCAGCGGUUCGAGUCCGCUUACCUCCACUGAUUACCACCUCCUCCAUAAUCUUUAGAAAGGAAAAUUUUUUGAGUUGUGAUCAUAAUUCUGAACGAAUCUAGCUUCCUAAUGAAAUCAUUAAGAUGCUGGACUCAUUGAUUAAUUUCAUUGUUUUCAGAGAACCUUGACAACUGCAUAGAUUAUUUUUAAAGACAAUAAGCAUCUUUAAUGAUGCAGAUUUAUUAUUUGUGCGAAUGCAUUAAUAACAAUUCUAUUAAGCUGAUGCUUCAAUUUUGAAGUUAUUGGUCAAGCUACAA